rnacentral:rRNA from 1 species
UACGUAGGAAGCAAGCGUUGUUCGGAGUUACUGGGCGUAAAGGGUGCGUAGGCGGCUUCGUAAGUUCGGUGUGAAAUCUCCCGGCUUAACUGGGAGGGUGCGGCGAAAACUGCGAAGCUGGAGCGCAGGAGAGGAAAGCAGAAUUCCUGGUGUAGCGGUGAAAUGCGUAGAUAUCAGGAGGAAUACCGGUGGUGAAGGCGGCUUUCUGGGCUGCUGCUGACGCUGAUACACGAAAGCGUGGGGAGCAAACAGG